UACGUAGGGGGCAAGCGUUGUCCGGAAUUAUUGGGCGUAAAGAGCGUGUAGGCGGCCAGAUAAGUCCGCUGUGAAAUCUCGAGGCUCAACUUCGAGCUGUCGGUGGAAACUGUCUGGCUAGAGUCCGGAAGAGGAGAGUGGAAUUCCUGGUGUAGCGGUGAAAUGCGCAGAUAUCAGGAAGAACACCCGUGGCGAAGGCGGCUCUCUGGGACGGUACUGACGCUGAGACGCGAAAGCGUGGGGAGCGAACAGG
rnacentral:rRNA from 1 species